CGACCUCAGGUUAGCGGGAUUACCCACUGAAUUUAAGCAUAUCAAUAAGUGGAGGAAAAGAAACUUACAAAGAUUCCCCUAGUAACAAUGAGUGAACUAAGAAAAGCCUAGCUUGAGAAUUGGGCACCCGAAUUUUAGUCUAGAGAAGCGUCUUCUGUGGCAGAUCGGGCCUAAAUCCCCUAAAAAUAGGUACCAAAGAGGGUGAGAGCCCCGUCAUGCCCAGACCCUAUCGCACCAGAAGGUGCUAUCUACUAGUUGAGUUGUUUGGGAAUGCAGCCCUAAUCGGGCGGUAAAUUCUGUCCAAGGCUAAAUAUAGGCAAGAAACCAAUAGCGAACAAGUACAGUGAGGGAAAGAUGAAAAUAAAUUUGAAAGAAAAGUCAAAGAAUGCUUGAAAUUGUCAAGAGGGAAGGGGACAGAGGCCGAUGAUGUGCCCUGAUUGGACGUGGAAUGGAAAAAGCCAAUCAGCCGAUCGGCUCGAGGCGUGGACCAAUGAAGGUUGUGGCAGUGGCUCAAACUUGGGCCUUUGAUAUACUUGUGGAGACGUCGUCGCCCCGAUCGUGGGAUCUGACAUGCCUAGUCUCGAUGUGCUUCGACAUUUGUGUGCUCCUGACGUCGACCUACGGACUCCUUAUUCGGCCCUUCUUGAAACAUGGACCAAGGAGUCUAACAUGUGUAAAAGUCAAUGGCCUAGAAAACUCGUAAGGCGAAAGAAAGAUAAUUGGAAGGAUCCCUCGCGAGUUCACCACUGAUUGACCUUGAUCUUUUGAGAAGGGUUUGAGUGAGAGCAUGUCUGUCAGGACCCGAAAGAUGGUAAACUAUGCCUGAGUAGGGAAAAGCCAGAGGAAACUCUAGUGGAGGCCCACAGCGAUACUGACGUGUAAAACAUUCGUCUGACUUGGGUAUAAGGAUAAAAGACUAAUCAAACCAUCUAAUAAUUUGUUCCUUCUGAAAUUUCCUUUAAGAUAGCUAGAGGCCUUUGCAAGUUCUAUCGGGUAAAGCCAACGAUUAAAGGAAUCAGGGGCACAACGCCCUCGACCUAUUCUCAAACUUUAAAUUGGUAGGAUGGCGCGGCUGCUUCAUUGAGCCACGCCACAAAAUUGAGAGCUCCAAGUGGGGAAUUUUUGGUAAGUAGAAUUGGUAAUGUGGGAUGAACCGAAAGUCGGGUUAUGGUGCCCAACUGCGCACUAACCUAAAACUUACAAAGGGUAUUGGUCGAUUAAGAUAAUAAGAUGGUUGUCCUAAAAGUCAAAAUCACUAAGGAGUGUGUAACAACUCACCAGUCGAAUCAAUUAGCCCCAAAGAUGGUUGGAACUUAAUAGCAUGACCUUUACCCAGUCGUCGGGGCAAGGGCCAGGGACCGAUGAGUAGUAGGCCACGACAGUCGUCAUAAAACUUAAGGCACAAGCCAAGGCGGUGUGACCGUUAGUGCAGAUCUUGGUGGUAAUAGCAAAUAUUCAAAUGAGAACUCUGAAGGCCGAAGAGGGGAAGGUUUCCAUCUGAAUGGUACUUACACAUGGGUUAGUCGAUCUUAAGAGACGAGGGAAGCUUGUCUAAUAGCGCGUCUAGUGCGAGCUUCGACCGAGAAUCGGGUUAAAGUUUCUGAACUGGGACGCGGUGGCUGAUGGCAAUGUUAGGGAGUCUGGAGACAUCGAUGGGGGCCUCAGGAAGAGUCCUCCUUUCUGUUUAACAGCCUACCCAUCCAGGAAACAGCUUAGCCGAAGGUAGGGUCUAGUGGCCGGAAGAGCACUGCACGUUGCCUGGUCUCUGGUGCGCUUUCGGCGGCCAAUGAAAAUGUAGAGGAUCGAGUGCCUCUUAUGCCUGGUUAUAGUCAUAACCGCAUCAGGUCUCUAGGGUGAACAACCUCUAGUCAAUGGAAUAAUGUAGGCAAGGGAAGUAUGCAAAAUGUAUCCGUAACCUUAAGAAAAGGACUUGAUCUGAGAGGUGAGCAUAGGGGUCCCAAUCCCAGUCCCAAACCCACCAGCUGCGGGUGCACUGGUUGAGCUACUCUCACAAUAAGAGUGGGUCACCGCAUGCUGGCUGGGGCACAGGCUGGGAACAACUCCCUCCAAGGCCAUCCUUAGGCGAUGAAUAGUCGACUCAGAAUUGGUACAAACUAGAGGAAUUCGACUGUUUAAUUAAAAAAAACAUUGUAAUAGUCCUUGCAGAUGCUCAUGAAAUGUGAUUUCUACCAGUGCUCUGAAUGCCAAAGUGAAGAAAUUCAGCCAGGCGCAGGUAAAUAGCAAGAGUAACUAUAGCUCUCUUAAGGUAGCUAAAUGCCUCAUCAUCUAAUUAAUGACACACAUGAAUGGAUUAACAAGAUUCUCAUUGUCCCUAUCUACUAUCCAAUGAUACCACAACCAAGGGAACGGGCUAGGCAGAAUCAACAGGGAAAGAAGACCCUGUUGAGCUUGACUCUGGUCCGACUUUGUGAAAUGACUUGAGAGGUGUAGGAUAACUGGGAUAUCUCAGGUGAAAUUAAAAUACCAUUACUUUUAACGUUAUUUUAUUUAUUCCAUGAAUCAGAGGUGGGGCAUGACCCCUCUUUUUAGACCAAAGGCUGACUUCGGCCUCCCAAUCCAGGUGGAAGACAUUGUCAGGUAGGGAGUUUGGUUGGAGCGGCACAUCUGUUUAAAGAUAACGCAGGUGUCCUCAGAUGAGCUCAACGAGAAUAGAAAUCUUGUGUGGAAAAAAAAGGUAAAAACUUGUUUGAUUCUAAUUUCCAGUAUGAAUACGAAUCGUGAAAGCGUGGCCUAUCAAUCCUUUAGGCCUUUAGAAUUUGAAGCUAGAGAUGUCAGAAAAGUUACCACAUAGAUAACUACAUUGUGGUAGCUAAGCGUUCAUAGUGAUAUUGCUUUUUGAUCCUUUAAUGUCAGCUCCUCCUAUCAUUGUAAAACAUAAUUCAGUAAAGGUUGGAUUGUUUACCCACCAAUAGGGAAUGUCAGCUGGGUUUAGACAAUCAUGAGGCAGGUUAAUUUUACCUUGCUAAUGACAGCGUCGCAAUAGUAGUUCAACCUAGUACGAGGAACCGUUGAUUCGCACAAUUGGUCAUUACGCUUGGUUGAAAAGCCAGUGGCGAGAAGCUACCGAGCAUUGGAUUAUGACUGAAUGCCUUAAGUCAGAAUCUAGGCUAGAUGUGAUGCACACGCCGGUCACCCGAUUGCUUACCCAUAGUAGGGGCCUCUAGCCCCUAAUGGCAUACGUCGUAGGAGUAGUGACUGCAGCAAAGAAGUCAUAGAUGCCUCAUUGGAGUGUAAUUCCCACUGAGCAGUUGGUAGAAUCCUUUGCAAUGACUUAAAUAUGCGACUGGAUAUUGUAAGUGACAGAGUGGCAUUACUGCCACGAUCCAUUGAGAUUCAGUCCUUUGUCACUUCGAUUUGU
rfam:Gossypium arboreum cultivar AKA8401 contig_61509_1, whole genome shotgun sequence.